rnacentral:misc_RNA from 1 species
GAUGAAGAACGUAGUGAAAUGCGAUAAGUAGUGUGAAUUGCAGAAUUCAGUGAAUCAUCGAAUCUUUGAACGCACAUUGCGCCCCUUGGUAUUCCAUGGGGCAUGCCUGUUCGAGCGUCAUUUGUACCUUCAAGCUCUGCUUGGUGUUGGGUGUUUGUCUCGCCUUUGCGUGUAGACUCGCCUCAAAACAAUUGGCAGCCGGCGUAUUGAUUUCGGAGCGCAGUACAUCUCGCGCUUUGCACUCAUAACGACGACGUCCAGAAGUACAUUUUUACACUCUUGACCUCGGAUCAGGUAGGGAUACCCGCUGAACUUAAGCAUAUCAAUAAGCGGAGGA